GUUUGUGUUGUUUCCCAUUUUGUGUAUAUUUCUGUGGCAGCUGACAAUAGACAAUGCCUGUUUCAAAAUAUAGUUGUUGUUGUUUUUUUUGCGUGGUUAACUAUUUACUUUCAGUAAAAAAUAUACAGUUGUACAGAACAAACCCAAGUACUAUGUCUUUUUCCACAGGAUGACAAUAUAAAGUUACAUUAUCUUUAAUUUCCUUACAUAAAAUGUUUGUGUUUUAUAAUGAGAUUUUUGCUUACAUGAAUCACA